CCAGCAUUUCCGAGCCAGAAAUGGUGAGAAUCGCGGUCCGGGGCAGCCGGCAGCCGGCAGGGCUGCGUUCGAAAACAUCAUCCGAGUGUACUCAGGUAUCAUUUUAUUCUUGUUUAACAUUCGGUGAACAGCAAGGAUAAAAUGAUACCCGGGGGCAUUCGGGUGAUGUUUCUGAACAUAGCCCAUUGUGUGUGACUGUGUGGCAGUGCGUUCGCCAUUGUUUAUAUUGUCUGUCGAAUGUUUAUUAAGACGUUUAUAUUGUCUGUUAUAUCUUUUAUUUUAUUAAACAAGAUACUUUCAUCGUAAAAAAAAGAAAGAUAGCGAGUGCGUAUUAGUAGAAUUUAUUAACGAGGAUUAUAAAGUCGCAGUAGGCUACUGGUCGUGGCUUCAAAAUAAGACAUUACGAAAUAAAGAAACACUACAAAAAGUUAUCGAUGCAAAAGAAGAAGUUGCAAUUAAUUGGCCCGUAAAUUGUGAAAUUGCUCCAGCAUUAAAGAUGCAAAGAAAAGUACGAAAUUGCUCAUGGAAAUCCCACGUUGUACAUAUUUUGUCGUUUGGAGAAUGGACUGAAAUGUGUACACAGUGCGAUAACGUAUUAAAAUUUGAAAUUCCAAACCCAUCAAAAAGUGAAAGAAAAGUGAUAAAACGAAAAAAUUGUGACAUGAAAACAAAUUCCGAAGAUGAAGACUCUAUUGAAAAUGACUUUAAAAAAAAUCGAACGGAAAAAAAGAAAACUUCGAAAUUACGAGAAACUGCCAAAAAAAAGUAGAAAAGAACAUUGUAGAAGCAUUGAAUAUUAAGAAAGAUAAAUUUCAAGAUGAUAAUACCCUGACAGACUCAUCCAAUAAUUCAAGAUGAUUGACGAACGAGUAUCAAAACACGAUAUGUCAAAGACAAAUCUUUUGCACAAGUAUCAUCAGGAAGUGAAGGAAUUAAAAGAUGAGAUUUUUCGAUUGAAAAAAAUUAUAAAGUAUUCGGAAGAUAUUCAACAUAUAGACAAAUAUCAUAAAAAAAUAUUUUUCAGAGCAAAAGAUAUUGAAGAAAAAUUAAAAUGUUUAGAAAAAGAAAUCAAUAAAAACACAAAGCAUAUUAUGAGUUGAAGUACUAUUGAAUCGAUUCCAAUAUACACUAAUGAUAGAAAUAAAUCCGAAAUUGUGGUUACUGAUAUAUUAAUUGAUUGUAAUUUAAAAAACAGUCCAGAGAAAAACAGUUCACAGAAUGAUGAAUGCCUGAAUCCAAUGGAUAAGGAGUUUAUGAUUACAAAUUCUGGGAUUACCAAUGCUGAUAUAAUAAAAAAUACUAAAAUUGAAUAUCAACCCUCACAUACAUCUGAAAUAAAUGAAAACAUUGCUUUUAAUGAAAGCGGUCUUCUUAAUAAAGACAGUAAUAAUGAAAAUAAAGAAAAUUCGACAGGUGAAAUAAUCCGAAAAGGUGAUAUCUGGAGGGAGAUAUUUUGGAUUCAAACAUAUCACAAAUACUCAACUGAGCAAGGUUAAUGACAGCAGCGUUUCGAAGCUAACUAGUGAUCUUCUCAGUUUGGUUUAUGAAAAAACGAAGUUAAGAAACUCCAGUUUGACUGGAUCUAUAGCCAAUGCAAAUAAAUCUUUAAAUCCGGAUAAAAAAUCAACCGAGAAAUUAGAUCAUGUUCGAAUGAAAGCUGUAGAAAAUUUUAUUUACGAGAAAUUCGGCAAGAUGACAAUACAAAAUUGUUCCGUAGUGCCGUUCGAAGCAAGUGCAACAAUGCUAAGAAAAAAGUGACAUCCGUCAAUUCAAUUCAAUAAUCUAAAACAUUCAAUUUUACAAUCUGUUAAAGUCAUCCAACUCAAAGAUUCUGAGGCCGAUAUUUAUAAUCAUUAUUUAAGCAAUUGUUUCGCGAAAUCCAACUUAU